UCGUGUCUGGUCAAUAUCUUUCUUACGGAGGAACAUUAGAAUCUACUACUCCACACAAAGAUUGCCCAUGACCUAAGGGUGUGUCAUGACCUUGACCCAAGGUCAUUUGGGGAAGUUCAAGGUCACUGGAAGAAAAAUUUCAUAAUUCGUGACCGGUCAAUAUCUUUCUUAUGGAUAAACUUGGUAGGUUCUCAUCUCACACAAAGAUUGCCCAUGACCU